rnacentral:misc_RNA from 1 species
AACGCACCUUGCGCUCCUUGGUAUUCCGAGGAGCAUGCCUGUUUGAGUGUCAUGAAAUUCUCAACCUAUCUAGUUUUCUUUAAAACUAGUUAGGCUUGGAUCAUGGAAGUUGCUGGUUCAAUUCGAAUCGGCUCUUCUUAAAUAUAUUAGCAAAGACAUUUGCUGACCAUCUUUGGUAUGAUAAUUAUCUAUAUCAUUGAUAACCAGUUCCCUUUGGGAGGUCUUGCUUCUAAUAGUCUUAUAGACAAUUUGACAAAUUUUGACCUCAAAUCAGGUAGGACUACCCGCUGAACUUAA